rnacentral:lncRNA from 1 species
AGCAGCUGUUGCCAGUCUACACCUCUGCUGCAGCAACACCAGAUCGGAGUUGCAUCUGCAACCUACAGUGCUGCUUGUGGCAAUGCUGGAUCCUUAACCCACUGAGCCAGGCCAGGGAUUAAACCCACAUCCUCACUCAAGAGGCCACACACAGUCCUUGGUUUCUGGCCCCUUCAUCCAUCUUCAAAGCUGGCAAUGGUACAUCACUUGCUCCUUUCUCCUGCAGUCCCAUCUCCUCUGAUUCCAGCUGGAAAGAGUUUCUGCUUUAUGAACCCAUGAGAUUAGAUGGGACCUACCCAAGCAAUCCAGGAGAAUCUUUUCACAUCAAAGUGAGUAAGGAAAGCACAGUCUGCCAGGAAAAUGGUUAUCUGCCAGAGGUGUCAGGCUGUUUACCACUGUGGCUUGGCCUCCACCCUUCUGAACAACUGCUGAGAACCACCCCCUUCUGGUCUUGACAUCUUUGAGGUCAAAAGAAGGAUGCAAGCACCUGUCAGCAGGGCUGGGACCCGCAGCAGCUGACACCCGCAGGGUGCACCUGUGACUUGAAUGGAGACAACACAUUUCUUCCUUUACAAAGUGGGGGAGUGGGAGUUCCCAUUGUGACUCAUGGGUUAAGAACCUGACAUAGUCUCCACGAGGGUGCAGUUUCCAUCCCUGGCUUCGCUUAGAGCGUUAAGGAUCUGGUGUUGCCACAAUGGGCCUAUGGCUGUGGUGUAGACCAGCAGCUGCAACUCUGAUUCCACCCCUAGCCUGGGAACAUCCUUAUGUUUCAGGGGUGUCCCUAAAAAGAAAAAAAAAAAAAGUAGGGGAGAAUCCUACUGCGAUAGGUAUUUUCUUUGCUUACCUACUUCUCAAAUUUUUGCCUUUUAGACGAUAACAUGGUUAGAAACAGAUAGAUUUUUAAAAAAUUCCUUCUAGUAAACUACUGAUUUUCAGUCCCAAGCUGGGCCCCAUGGGCUCUUCAACAAUCUCACGCUCUGCUGCAUAUCACAGUGAAAACUGGGAACCAAAACUCAUUUUCUUGGCCCAAGGCAGUCAUAUUGGUAGUGGGGAGGGGAACUUCACAGCAUGAAGAUACUAUAGGAUAAUUAUCUCAGUCCCUUUCCAUGUGGCCUAUUGAGAGGUGACUUUUUAACUUCUUAGCACCUUGAAAUUAGUCUGACAUAAUUUGAAAAUAAUACAUAAUGUAUUUAAUGCAACUUCACUGUAAUUAAAGAUGAAGUUUAGGAGUUCCCGUCGUGGCGCAGUGGUUAACGAAUCCGACUAGAAACUAUUAGGUUGCGGGUUCGGUCCCUGCCCUUGCUCAGUGGGUUAACGAUCCGGUGUUGCCGUGAGCUGUGGUGUAGGUUGCAGACGUGGCUCGGAUCCCGCGUUGCUGUGGCUCUGGCAUAGGCCGGGGGCUACAGCUCCGAUUCAACCCCUAGCCUGGGAACCUCCAUAUGCCGCGGGAGCGGCCCGAGAAAUAGCAACAACAACAAAAGACAAAAGACCACAACAACAACAACAAAAGACAAAA